ensembl:lncRNA
CUUACUGACGCCAAGUACAAGGUCUAUCAGCCCUUUAAAGAUGAAGACAGGCUUGAAUACCUAGGUCUGAGAUGAGACCAUGUGAGUAGCUGAACCAUCUUAACGGGGAAAUAAGUUAUUCUAAAAGGAGCCCUUGGUAGGCGGCGUGGCUGGAGAGCAGCCGAAGAUUUAAGUCGUGGAUGGCGAGGGGGGCGGCGGGAGUGGACGCACCUCGCAAUAUCGAUCGGACCCUGAAAGCACCGUCUCCACCUCCCCACACCCCCCCAUCCACCCGCCCCGACGCCAAACGUUUGACUGCUAAAUCACCAGCCGGUCUGCGAGCUGGACGCAUUGGUCUUAAUCUGCCGGUAACGAUGGUAAAUGAUGGUUGUAGCUGGUUGUCAUCUACGGUCCACUACGGUUACAUAAAGGUGUCGUUUGUGUUUUGACAACGUUUUAUCUCACAAUUUCGACUUUCUAUCCCCUUUCUUCAGUGCGGAAAUGGGCUUCUAUAGUUGUGUGAAUGCAUCGCUCCAGCCAAUCCAAAGACGGGGUUUGUAACCAAUCAGGUGUAGAGACCAGUGUGACUGGCUCCGCCCCCUCACUGUCAGAAAGAACAACAGCGAGCGCGUAGAAAACUCCUUCGAGCGCGACCAGAGAUUCUCCUCGCGAGCAACGAAGUUCACGUUUCGCAAGCGAGCAAAUACCUCGCUCGAGGCAAACUUUUGCUUGCGGGAGACGGACUUUCGCUGCCAGAUGUUUGAUUUACGCUCGCGCAUCAACCUGAUUUGCGCUCUCGAAUUUUGACAGUGAUUUGCGCUGAUAGACUGCAGUAUCUUAUGCGCCUUAUUGUGCGGAAAACACGGCACAUGAGCUCCGGAGAAAAUGGUAUACAAAACAUACAUAGUCGGUUAAUACAUUUUGAAUCAAAAUUAAAUUCUUAUGGUCAUUUAAUCAUCCCUAGUUUAUGUUUUGAUCAGAGUUGUGAUUAAAGAUUUUCAGAUUUCAAAGUGGGCCACGGCAUUCUUGAGUUUGGGAACCGCUGUUCUACAGUUAAUCUUACAUAGUAUAAAGAUAUUCUUAAAUUGUGAAGCAGUGUCAAAUAAAAAUUUGAAUGGCGCUGUUAAGAGAUUUUCUUAUUUUAUCUCCGUUUAUUACUGGUUUAAAUGGCUAUAGAAUGUUUUCUGAUCGUGCUUGUUCUAUAAAUAAAGAUAAUUAUCCUGAUAGCCUUCUUUGAUCAUUUCAGUAAGAAAAUAUGCAUCGGCGAGGACUCUUAAAUCAGAAGGAUAAUGGCAAAUUUUACAUUGAUACUGGAGGGGACAAAGUGGGACUUGACGUCAAAUAUGUCAAAGCCUUAAGUAAGUUGAAUGUUUGGAUUUUGUAAUCCUAAUUAAAAUAUGAAUAAGCUUGACAGAUGUUUUUUCUGUCUGUGUAUGAAAUAGGUCGCGGCAUCUUCACCUCGGCUCCAUUUGAUAAAGGAGAAGAAUAUAGAGGUUAACUAAUAAACCAUAAAGAAUGUCAGAGGAGACAGACUUUUUCUCCUUUACUGCGAAUGAGCUGACAUUCUAGCAAGGUAAAGUUCUCCUAAAGGAAAUGAUUUUACAAAUUGAUUUUUCAAUAUGACAAUGGUUUUUGUUGGUUGAUGGGGAACAAAAGACAUGCUGCUACAAUGAAAUAUCAAACUUGUUCUGUAUUGACUAUUCAGUUUUUACUUGAUCCCUUUGGUUUGAUGUUUAUCGUUAAUAUCUUCAGAAAUAUUAAGGAAAGUCUUUUGAUGAUAAAUUAAAUUUGAAAAUAAAGUGAAAUUUGUGUUUUAGAAGGAAGCGUGUCGUCCAGUAGAUGAGAGCUACCCUCUCUCUGAAGGUAUGCCAAGUUUGAUGGUAGAGCAUCUUUUUAAAGUACUUAAAUUGGACACAAAAUGGCACUGCUACAAGGUAUAGAAGAAAGAAGGCAAAACAAUAAUUAUUUUUGUGUGAUCGUUUAUGUCUACUUCGUGUAUCUUCCAGGAAAAAAUGGUGGGUCCAGAAGAGGGACAAAGAGAGCGUGGUCUAAAGUUGAGGUUCAAGCAGUAAUGCGGCACUUCAAAGACCCAUAUUCGUAAAGGUCACCUGGCCACCAAGAACGAAUGCAGUCACUGCAAGUUGGUGGAAGGACCCGUCUUGGAACAAAGAACUGUGCAAAAUGUCAGAGAGUUCGUCCGUAAUCGGAACAGCUGAAAAAAGACUGUAAACAAACAUACACUUAUUUUAUUUGUUCUACAUCCUUUUAUCCCACGGCACGGGCAGUCUUCUAAUCUGUUGACAUACAAAGGUAUACAAGCACAUGUCAUUCACCUCAUCAUAAUGUAAUAAUACUCUAAUACUGUCAAGAGACGUCAUAAAUUCUUAAUGGCUGAAAUCUUCAAGUUUGUACACGUUUUCCCCUUCAUUGUCUUGAGGUAAGUUUCCAUAGUGCGGUGAAAGAAAUGUUCAUUAUGUAUGUCUUGCCCAUCGCUCUGUCGUUCUUUUCGGUUGUUUGUUAAACAGGACUUGUUUUACAAAAGCACUAGUCUGGCUCCUCAGUUUGUAUGAUAAACGGACUAUAGUGCUUUUGUAUGAAACAAUUGUUUACAAAAGCACUAUCGUCCGUUUGUAUGAAACAAUUGUUUACAAAAGCGCACUAGUCUGGUUCCUUGUGUCCUGAGUGGGACAGUAGUAAAAAAAUAACCCCAGCUCGUUGUUAAAUGAAAGCCAGAGAUUGAAGCCAGGUUGUAGAGGCACUCGCUGAUUCCCUCUGCAUAGAUGGAUCUUUAGAUAGUAUAGAUCGAUUUCUACACAUACUGUCACUUUGGAGGGGCCUAAUUUGGCCAUCCGUUAACAUUAUUUUUUAUAUUAAAUUGAUGGUUCCAGUAAUGCUGUGUCCUGUCUGUGUGUAUUUAUGUUAAUGAGGUGGGCGGGAUCAUUGUCCCUUCAAAGACCCAACAGUGUUUUUUUGGUCCUUAUAAGUCAUACUUUGGUCAAAAUAGAAAUGUCUACCUAUACCACAGUAUAAUUAGGUUGCUGUGUAUGAGGUUGUGUAGUUUGUAUCUGAAAUCUAAAGUGAGCUGAGUGACUACAACCGGGCCUGUAUGGCGAAAAGUCCACCUAAUGCAUACCUGUGUGUGUGUGUGUGUGUGUGUGUGUGUG